rnacentral:rRNA from 1 species
UACGGAGGGUGCAAGCGUUGUCCGGAUUCAUUGGGUUUAAAGGGUGCGCAGGCGGGACAUUAAGUCAGGGGUGAAAGACGGUGCUCAACAAUCGCAGUGCCUUUGAUACUGGUGUUCUUGGGUGACCUUGAGGUAGGCGGAAUGGGUGGUGUAGCGGUGAAAUGCAUAGAUACCACCCAGAACUCCGAUUGCGAAGGCAGCCUACUGGAGGUUUACCGACGCUCAGGCACGAAAGCGUGGGGAUCAAACAGG